GGGAGCAUAGCUCAGUGGUAGAGUGCGUGCUUAGCAUGCACAAGGUCCUGAGUUCAACCCCUAGUACCUCCA
rnacentral:tRNA from 1 species